rnacentral:snRNA from 1 species
AUCGCUUCUCGGCUCUUUUGAGCUAAGAUCAAGUGUAGUAUCUGUUCUUCUCAGUUUAAUACCUGGGACGGAAACGAUUCGUUUCCUCUAUGUAUUAAUCGGAUUUUUGAACUUGGAGUAUGGUGCUGGAGCUUGCUCCACCCUGCUCACGGGUUGUCCUGGUAUUGCAGUACCUC